rnacentral:rRNA from 1 species
AGUGAACGCUGGCGGUAGGCCUAACACAUGCAAGUCGAACGGCAGCACAGUAAGAGCUUGCUCUUACGGGUGGCGAGUGGCGGACGGGUGAGGAAUACAUCGGAAUCUACUUUUUCGUGGGGGAUAACGUAGGGAAACUUACGCUAAUACCGCAUACGACCUACGGGUGAAAGCAGGGGAUCUUCGGGCCUUGCGCGAUUGAAUGAGCCGAUGUCGGAUUAGCUAGUUGGCGGGGUAAAGGCCCACCAAGGCGACGAUCCGUAGCUGGUCUGAGAGGAUGAUCAGCGACACUGGAACUGAGACACGGUCCAGACUCCUACGGGAGGCAGCAGUGGGGAAUAUUGGACAAUGGGGGCAAGCCUGAUCCAGCCAUACCGCGUGGGUGAAGAAGGCCUUCGGGUUGUAAAGACCUUUUGUUGGGAAAGAAAAGCAGCAGGUUAAUACCCCGCUGUUCUGACGGUACCCAAAGAAUAAGCACCGGCUAACUUCGUG